GAUGAACGCUGGCGGCGUGCCUAAUACAUGCAAGUCGAGCGAACAGACGAGGAGCUUGCUCCUCUGACGUUAGCGGCGGACGGGUGAGUAACACGUGGAUAACCUACCUAUAAGACUGGGAUAACUUCGGGAAACCGGAGCUAAUACCGGAUAAUAUAUUGAACCGCAUGGUUCAAUAGUGAAAGACGGUUUUGCUGUCACUUAUAGAUGGAUCCGCGCCGCAUUAGCUAGUUGGUAAGGUAACGGCUUACCAAGGCAACGAUGCGUAGCCGACCUGAGAGGGGGGUCGGCCAAGCGGGAACUGAGACACGGACCGGACCCCAACGGGGGGGAGCAGUGGGGAAUCUGCCGCAAGGGGGGAAAGCCGGAAGGAGCACGGCCGGGGGAGGGAUGAAGGUCUUGGGAUGGAAAAACUCUUUUAUGGGGGAAAAAAAAAUGUGAAAGGAAUUAUGAACGUUUGAGGGGAACCUAAGAAGAAGGCCACGGCAAACAGCGG
rnacentral:rRNA from 1 species